rnacentral:lncRNA from 1 species
GGUGCUUUGCAAAGUGCAGGAUACGGAAGUAAAGACGUUGGUCAUGAAUCAUGCUCUCAUGAAAUUUACAACCUUGUAGCGAAGAGACAGUAAACACUUGUUCAGCAGGACAACUGCAAUUACAGGUAAUUCAGUGGGGCACUUAGAAAGGAGUGGCACUCUCCUCCUGGGAGAGGAGAGAACGCUUCCCAGGAUCUCAGUCUUGAGGAAAGAGGAGAGGAAGGGAAAGACUUUCUUGCAGGGGAACAGCAUUUACAGAGGCACGGGGCAGGACAUAGCAAAUCGUCUUCGGGAAAGUGGGCCCCAUACCAAGGGGCAGAGCUACAGGAAUAGACGCUUUGAUGAUUCUGCAGAGGAAAGGAUGGUUCAGAGCUGGGUAGUCAGAGAAAGUUCCCAGAGGAAGAUGGAAUCUGCUCAGGGCCUCCAAGCAAAGCCCCUGCCUGGAGGGCCUGAUUGGAAGGUAGCAGCAGUCCCUCGGCAGAGGAAGUGAGAGGCUGCACUGGCUUCUUUCCUGAAUGCUUGCAGUGUGGGCAUGCCUCAGCUUGGCUGAAGCCAAAGACGCUGUUGAGUAUGUGAGCAGAGGGUAACCAUGUUGGAGGAGAAGCAUCUGGCUGUGCAAUGGAGGGCCUUGGACGGCAGGUGCAUGAAUGCUGACCUGAUUCUCUGGGCAGUGAGGACCUCUGGAGUGAUUCUGAGCAGUGGAAUACUGCUCAGUGCAGUACUCCUGCACUGAGUGACCUGCAGCAUCUUGGUGUAUGUAUCAGUGUAAGGUCCAAGUGGGGACAGCUCACUAUGACAGCCGCUGUGAACCUAGUCUUCAAGCACCUCUUGGUCCAUGAGAAUCAGCCCUUGAGAAAAGUCUUAGCAACUGUACUCAUUCAGGGAGAGAGAGAGAUCCAUGCCUGCACUGGAGCAGGUGGGGAGUGGCCACACUCAGGAUUCUUGGAACAGGUGAGUGGCCCCUGCGUGGUACACAUGGCACCUGGGCCUGCCUGUAUGACCUUCCACAAUGUCUCCACUAUCUGGCCCCUUGUUAUCCCUUUGGUUGAAUUUUCCAUUUACACUUCCCUCUGCUCAACCCACAUUAGCCACUUGACCGCUUCCUGCCCCACUACGGGCUCUGGCACCGCUGCUUCCGUUUCCCCAGAGGACUCUGCCCCUCACCUCCUCGCCUCCUACCAUCGGCCCUUUGCUCAGAGGCCACCUUGUCAGUGAGGCCCUCCUGACCGCCUGUUUAAAUUGGCCCCAACCUCUUUUCGUCUUCUUUCAUCUCCGUAGCACUUACCCCAGGACCAAGCCAAAUCCCUCCUUGGCUUUCUUUGUGUGGUCUCCGCACCCAGAACCACACUUCACCCGGGAGGGAUUCCUGCCUGUGCAGUGCAUGCUGCAUCCUCGGCCUCUGUGCCUGGAACAAGCUGGGUGUGUCCUGGAUAUUUUCGAAGGAAGGAGGAAUGAACAUGUGGCUGAGGGUGAAACAUGAUGAAGGCCAUGAGGAGGAGGCCAGCUUUGGAGACGGAGGGAGCCAUGUCCUUGGAUGCCGGGAGUGAAUGGCCUGGGGAAACCCUGCGUGUUUGGGCAGCAGCCUCUGGCCUCCUGGAAGUAGACGGUCAUGAUUUUCGGGUGAAACAAGGAGGCAAGGGCGUGAUUUCCUCAAGCCAUGCAGCGGGAAGUGGAGGGCUGAUGAGUGCCAUGAGUCAGGGGUGAGUUUUGCCAGGUGAGUCCUGGGGCAGCUGGCACUGUGGGAUCCUGCCAAGUGAGUGGAAGGGCUGGCCAUGGGUGAGAGACGGAAAAGGCGGGUGUAGGACAGCCCAAGUGCAACGCCAUUCACUGAGGCACUUUCUGAAGCACAGAUGGGGCCCACAUGCACAGAAGAAGGUUUGCUACAUUGGGUAAGAAUCAUUUUCCGAGCUUUUUUGAUGAAAAAAUUGAAUUGCCAAAAUUAAUAUCUUGAUCAAAUAUAAAAUCCUUUUCCCAUUAUGAUGGGUAAUAAAAUAUACAUCUAUACUUAAUGUUUAAGUGUUUAUAGAUGACAUUUUUGGUUGAUUUUUCAAAGAAUGAAAGAAAUUAAAACUUAAUAAAUGAGAGCAUUUCAAAACACAUCUCAGUACAUUCUGUAUUCUGGUCUGGAAAAAUAUUUUCACUUUAAACCUUGUGAACACAAGCUUUGAAAUACUGAUGACUUGGCAGUUAGCUCACACACCUUGAGAAAAUUCUAUUACAUCCCAUUUGUACAAGCAGAAACGAC